UGAAUACAUACUAAUAAAAACAGAAAGAAAACACAGAUGCUUCUGACACUAAAUUUCCACAGAACUUCACACUGGGCACAACUCAAAACAAACCUCACAUUAGGCCUUUAAAUGAUAAACUUGGAAAGGAAAGGUGACAGGCCUUGCAUUAGCACUUGUUAACUAGGACGUUACACCGUGUACCACAAGGGGAAACACUGACAAAAUUUACCCUGUCAAAUCAGAAAACUUCAUAAAUGAAUUGUUAAGAAAAUGAAACAGAUAGAUACAGGUGGCAAGAAAUCAUUUUUUUUUUUUUAAAUUGGACUCCUUUUUGUGGCAUUGAGGUAGUAGAGUUUUAUAAUCUCUGAAUGCACGUGAAGAACUGCUUACCCUGUCUCACUACAGGGCAUAGGCAGCAGUUUCCCAGGAUAGAAAAUAACUACCCAGGGGUGGAACUUAAUCUAUGGGCAGGCUGGGUUCCGCUACCCUGGAAUGGGGACGCUGAUAAAUUUUGCAUAUGCUGUGGCAGGUGCCCAGAAUGGUACAUGAGGACUGGUCUUGUGACAGGAGGGGGAUAUGAUGGCUGCCGCCAAGUAUCUGAAGUGUCACAUGGAGGGUUGCCUGCCUUGUGGUUACAAGAGACAUUACUGGAAUCAGUGAAAGAAGGUGGAGAAACAGUGGCUGGAGAAAGGAGAGAUGUGGGUUUGGCACAGUUGCUUCGGCACAAUGUGUGUCUCACUUGGCUGAGUGUGGAUUUGAUGUUUUCAGAGAAGGUUCGUCUUUGUUAGAACACGGCUCCUGAAGGCAAGCCAACAGCUUCAUCUGGUGCUCCAUUGACUCAACAGCAAUCCUUUCCAGCGCUGGGGAGAACUUGGCCGCGUUGGACCUAGUGAGACACGAUGUGGGCCAUGUCAGGCUCCAGUGUCGUGCCUUUCUCCAGUUUGUUCCAUGUCUUGUUGGCUAUACAUCAACAUUUGUCUUUGUUAUGAAAAUAGUUACAAAAGUGACUUCAUCAUGUUUUACAGUGAAAGCGGGACUUAGUACACUUUGCAGAAGUUUCUAGAGCCUGGGAGUCAGAGCCAGAAAGUGUCAGUCUAGCUUUUACCCAGUUCUUAUUUCCAACUUUGAGCCUCUUCACUGUUAAAAGUGGAGGUGAUCAUACAUUCAUGUGUCUGUUGAUUCCACAGAGAUCCGGUGUUCUAAAAUUCAGCUUCUCAUCGAUAAUCACUUAAUGCCUCAGGGCCUGGGAAGGUGGAUGGGCGUUAAAGAGUUUGUUGUAUAGCCUGAGAUCUUGACUUUGGAAAUCCCUUACCCAUGUAGAAAACUGUGCAUGGUACAAACCCCUAUCACCCCAGCACUGGUAGGUUGGGAUGGGGGCUCAGCUGGCCAGCCAAUCAGUCUAGCCACUUGCUGAACUCCAGAAUCAGUGAGAGACUGUGUCUCCAAACAAUAAAAUCAGAGUGAUACAA